GAUGAACGCUGGCGGCGUGCCUAAUACAUGCAAGUCGAGCGAACAGACGAGGAGCUUGCUCCUCUGACGUUAGCGGCGGACGGGUGAGUAACACGUGGAUAACCUACCUAUAAGACUGGGAUAACUUCGGGAAACCGGAGCUAAUACCGGAUAAUAUAUUGAACCGCAUGGUUCAAUAGUGAAAGACGGUUUUGCUGUCACUUAUAGAUGGAUCUGCGCCGCAUUAGCUAGUUGGUAAGGUAACGGCUUACCAAGGCAACGAUGCGUAGCCGACCUGAGAGGGUGAUCGGCCACACGGGAACUGAGACACGGUCCAGACUCCUACGGGAGGCAGCAGUAGGGAAUCUUCCGCAAUGGGCGAAAGCCUGACGGAGCAACGCCGCGUGAGUGAUGAAGGUCUUCGGAUCGUAAAACUCUGUUAUUAGGGAAGAACAAAUGUGUAAGUAACUAUGCACGUCUUGACGGUACCUAAUCAGAAAGCCACGGCUAACUACGUG
rnacentral:rRNA from 1 species